rnacentral:rRNA from 1 species
UACGAAGGUGGCAAGCGUUGUUCGGAUUUACUGGGCGUACAGGGAGCGUAGGCGGUUGGAUAAGCCCUCCGUGAAAUCUCCAGGCUUAACCUGGAAAGUGCAGAGGGGACUGUUCAGCUAGAGGAUGGGAGAGGAGCGCGGAAUUCCCGGUGUAGCGGUGAAAUGCGUAGAGAUCGGGAGGAAGGCCGGUGGCGAAGGCGGCGCUCUGGAACAUUUCUGACGUUGAGGCUCGAAAGCGUGGGGAGCAAACAGG